CUCCGAGCAACCGUCUGGUAGUUGACCGAUUAUGGGUGUUGGCAUAAUUUCAAACUGUGACCAGAAAAUAUUAUACUAAAGCACAGAGGUGAUCGAGAAUAAUCCGUCAACAAAGGUGUAAAUGGAUAUUUCAGUGUUUGCGCUCACUAUGGUCUUAAGGAACGGCUUUUCGAAUGAUGUCGAUAUCGAGCGUUCGAAGAGCGCAGAAGACCCACCAAAAUGUAAGAGGGGCGUAUACUGGAAUCAAGUUCACCCAUAGCGAUCUUCCAACGGAGCUAGCCGGCCCUAAUGUUGUCCACCAAGGGCUAAUAGACGGCGUUACAUUAUGUUGCGUAUACUUUAAGGGAAUUAUUGCUAGCACGCCAUUGUAUGUACAAACAACAAAUCUUCUGAAAACAAAACUUCUCCUUUAAAGACUUCCAAAUCAAGGAUGAAAGGCAACUAACCGGCAUAAACCGCGGGAUGCCCAGCCAUCACGUGACCAUUCUGAGCCCGAUUCUUUUUCACGCAGCAGACAACGCAGACGAUUACAGAUACAAUUACCAGAAGCAAUAUGACACCACCAAUUGUUGCUCCAACAAUCACAGCAAUGCUG